rnacentral:rRNA from 1 species
CAGCAGCCGCGGGAAUACGGAGGGGGCUAGCGUUGUUCGGAAUUACUGGGCGUAAAGCGAGCGCAGGCGGUUAGAUAAGUCUGAAGUUAUAGGCUGUGGCUUAACCAUAGUACGCUUUGGAAACUGUUUAACUUGAGUGCAAGAGGGGAGAGUGGAAUUCCAUGUGUAGCGGUGAAAUGCGUAGAUAUAUGGAGGAACACCGGUGGCGAAAGCGGCUCUCUGGCUUGUAACUGACGCUGAGGCUCGAAAGCGUGGGGAGCAAACAGGAUUAGAUACCCCAGUAGUCCCUGUCUCUUAUACA